GGACCCGGCACAAGCAGCGGAGCAUGUGGUUUAAUUCGAAGCAACGCGAAGAACCUUACCAGGGCUUGACAUCCCUCUGACAGGUCGUUAAAACGACCCUCCUUCGGGCAGAGGUGACAGGUGGUGCAUGGUUGUCGUCAGCUCGUGUCGUGAGAUGUUGGGUUAAGUCCCGCAACGAGCGCAACCCUUGUCAUUAGUUGCCAUCAAGUUAAGUUGGGCACUCUAAUGAGACUGCCGGGGAUAACUCGGAGGAAGGUGGGGAUGACGUCAAAUCAUCAUGCCCCUUACUGUUCUGGGCUACACACGUGCUACAAUGGCUGGUACAGAAGGAGCGAUACUGUGAAGUGGAGCCAAUCAAGAAAACCAGUCUCAGUUCGGAUUGUAGGCUGCAAUUCGCCUACAUGAAGUCGGAGUUGCUAGUAAUCGUGAAUCAGAAUGUCA
rnacentral:rRNA from 1 species